rnacentral:ncRNA from 1 species
CCCUUUGUUUCCAAAAGGACUAGACUAUGUCUCAGAUCCUAUGACCUAUAAACUUAUAGUCGUUGAACUUAUCAUAUGUAAAUGUUUACAUACAAUUAGCAGCAAGUUAUUCACAUAUAUUCUAAAUUAUUAAGAACUAAAUAUUAAUCUAGUUUAUUAUUAGAAUUUUUAGAAUUUUCUUGCUAUUUGAAUAUAUUGCUCCAUUAUGAAUGGAACUAGUGAUUGAACACUAUUACACCCUAAAUUAUAAGGUGGUUGU